AUUGAACGCUGGCGGCAGGCCUAACACAUGCAAGUCGAGCGGGGACUUCGGUCCUAGCGGCGAACGGGUGAGUAAUGCUUGGGAAUCUGCCCAGUAGUGGGGGAUAACGUCCCGAAAGGGACGCUAAUACCGCAUACGUCCUACGGGAGAAAGAGGGGGAUCUUCGGACCUCUCGCUAUUGGAUGAGCCCAAGUCGGAUUAGCUAGUUGGUAGGGUAAUGGCCUACCAAGGCGACGAUCCGUAGCUGGUCUGAGAGGAUGAUCAGCCACACUGGAACUGAGGCACGGUCCCGACUCCUACGGGAGGCAGCAGUGGGGAAUAUUGGACAAUGGGCGAAAGCCUUAUCCAGCCAUGCCGCGUGUGUGAAGGAGGCCUUCGGGUUUUAAAGCACUUUAAGCGGGGAGGAAGGUUCGCGGCCUAAUACGUCGCGGAAUUGACGUUACCCGCAGAAUAAGCACCGGCUAACUCUGUG
rnacentral:rRNA from 1 species